UGAGGAAUAUUGGUCAAUGGGCGCAAGCCUGAACCAGCCAUGCCGCGUGCAGGAUGACGGUCCUAUGGAUUGUAAACUGCUUUUGUACAGGAAGAAACAGUUCUACGUGUAGAACCUUGACGGUACUGUAAGAAUAAGGAUCGGCUAACUCCGUG
rnacentral:rRNA from 1 species